rnacentral:rRNA from 1 species
AGUGGCGCACGGGUGCGUAACGCGUAUGCAACCUACCUCUUACAGGGGGAUAGCCUUUGGAAACGAAGAUUAAUACCCCAUAACAUAUUCGCAUUGCAUAAUGCUUAUAUUAAAGUUUCGGCGGUAAGAGAUGGGCAUGCGUCCUAUUAGCUGGAUGGUGCGGUAACGGCGCACCAUGGCGACGAUAGGUAGGGGCCCUGAGAGGGGGAUCCCCCACACUGGUACUGAGACACGGACCAGACUCCUACGGGAGGCAGCAGUGGGGAAUAUUGGACAAUGGGCGGAAGCCUGAUCCAGCCAUGCCGCGUGCAGGAAGACUGCCCUAUGGGUUGUAAACUGCUUUUGUACGGGAAGAAACCCACCUACGUGUAGGUGGCUGACGGUACCGUAAGAAUAAGCAUCGGCUAACUCCGUGCCAGCAGCCGCGGUAAUACGGAGGAUGCAAGCGU